rnacentral:sRNA from 2 species
CCUGAUUUCCUGGGAGCGAUUUUAUCGUCACUGAAUCUUCCCGGAGGUGGUGUCGUCACAGAUGUUCGUUUAGGAGAUCUGUUUGAAGCGGAUGAAGUUCGGGGCGUUGGAGGUCUUUGAGAAGCAAGGUCUUGAAGCUCCGCUAAUAGGUCCUGCUCUGAUUUUUCUUGUACUCCCCCCGCUGCCUGGGGGGCUCCAUCAUCGACACCAAGGUCAUCGAACUGAGCAAGCAGUUCGUCAUUUGUAGGGGCUUGCUUUCCUGUUUUCGACAUAGUGUGCUACUAUCAACUGAGGGCUGGUUCGAAAGCUGGUUGCUACGGAGACGUGGUGGGUAGUUUUGGCGGAGAUACUAACAAGACAGUAAUGGAUCCGCCCCCAUGAAUCAGUCCUUUCUCAAACAAACAACAGUUGAAGGAGAAAUGGGUUCAAAGAUGCUCAAGCGUUUGAACGAUGUCGUGAGAGCGCCAAGAUAGAGCCAGUUGAGUCACGUGUGGUUAAACCUAGUUAGGUUGUUCAUACUAACGGCCACAAGAUGCUGUGUUGCCCCAGAUUUUACUAGUUUCAACCACCACAUGUAUGAUGGUUUGUGGGCAACUUGGGUCAAGUCAAGUUUCUAUAAAUAUCCAAGCGUAUUAUCUAGUUAGUCCUGCGUGCCAUUUUGCUGCAAUUUGUACCCGCAGGAUAAUGAGUGCUGGAGGCAAGCAAAAGUCCAAAAACAAAAUUUAGUCGCAUUAAAAUACCAUGUAGGCACCCUAAUGAUAAAUCCUUCUAGAGUAAACUUCGACCAGGGGA